UACAGAGGGGGCAAGCGUUGUUCGGAAUUACUGGGCGUAAAGGGCGCGUAGGCGGCCCGCUAAGUCGAACGUGAAAUCCCCGAGCUCAACUCGGGAACUGCGUCCGAUACUGGCGGGCUUGAAUCCGGGAGAGGGAUGCGGAAUUCCAGGUGUAGCGGUGAAAUGCGUAGAUAUCUGGAGGAACACCGGUGGCGAAGGCGGCAUCCUGGACCGGCAUUGACGCUGAGGCGCGAAAGCGUGGGUAGCAAACGGGG
rnacentral:rRNA from 1 species